CGGGUCCUUGAGGAGCCGCUGGGUUUUCCCGCUUCCCCCCCGGGGAACUUGGCUAACAAUGAGAGUUAUCGAAGUCGCCGGUGUCUCAAAAGGAGCCCCAGAGACACCUGUUUGAAACAGAAGCGGGUAAAGGAAGUGGUCACCCAUUAGGUACAUAAUUGAGCACUUGCUAUGGGCCAGACGCUGCUCUGAUAUUUGGAUACGCUGGAGAACAAAACAGGCCUUCCCUGCUGUGGAGGAGCUGAUUCUGGGCCGCAGGGGCCGGAGAUGAGGGUUAUCUGCAAAGAAUCUGGCCCCUGUCAGAUUCUCCCAUCCUACUAUGUACAUACAACUCUUCUCAUCGAGAUGUCGGUCCAUUUCCUCUUUCCUUGAGUCUGGCCUCACUCUCUGACCUGUUUGGACCAGUAGAACAUGGAAAAGGCUACUGAAUGAUGGGACACCAUGUGGAGAGCGUCCAGGGUGGUGUGCACUGUUCCUACCACUCCAGCUGAGGUGACAGACGUGUGAGGAAGGUCCUCUUGGCUGAUCCAUCCUAACGGAGCUCCUGGCUUACUGCAGCUGUGUGAGUGACCCCGCCUGACACCACAUGGAGCUGAACCACCAGUUAAGCCCAGUCGACCUACAUAAUGAUGGAAAAGGAGUAGUUGUUUUAAGUCACUGUGUCUUGGGGUAAUUUGAUACACAAUAUUAACUAGCACUAAAUAAUUAACUGAUAUCCUUUCUCUUCAAACCUCUAUAGCCAUUGCUUCAUUACUUUCUAAAAUUUAAUCUUAGAAGUGUAGGUUUUUUCUUCAUUACUGUAGGUGCUGCCUUUUUUUUUUUUUUAAGAAUUUUCCUCAUCUUUCUAAUUGAAGCAUUUUUCCAGGAUGUAUGGGAGUACCAUUGUCCUUUAAUUGAUUUGGUAUACCUCACAGUUAAAAACAUUUUGAUCCCUUUUAAUGAUUUCUUUUGCAGCUUUUUAAAAGUUUCUUUAGUGUGAUCUUUGAUUAUCACCUGUUCUAAUUGUUCUGAUUUCUUUGUCUCGAUAUGAGUCAGCAUACUACACAACCUGUGCACCAGAUCUGGCUCACAAGAUGAUUUUUUUAUUUGAUUUUGUUUUUUUAUUAAGGCAUUAUUGAUAUACACUCUUAUGAAGGUU